rnacentral:rRNA from 1 species
CCUACGGGUGGCAGCAGUGGGGAAUAUUGGACAAUGGGGGGAACCCUGAUCCAGCCAUGCCGCGUGUGUGAAGAAGGCCCUCGGGUUGUAAAGCACUUUCAGUGAGGAAGAACGCCUGGUGGUUAAUACCCAUCAGGAAAGACAUCACUCACAGAAGAAGCACCGGCUAACUCCGUGCCAGCAGCCGCGGUAAUACGGAGGGUGCGAGCGUUAAUCGGAAUUACUGGGCGUAAAGCGCGCGUAGGUGGCUUGAUAAGCCGGUUGUGAAAGCCCCGGGCUCAACCUGGGAACGGCAUCCGGAACUGUCAAGCUAGAGUACAGGAGAGGAAGGUAGAAUUCCCGGUGUAGCGGUGAAAUGCGUAGAGAUCGGGAGGAAUACCAGUGGCGAAGGCGGCCUUCUGGACUGACACUGACACUGAGGUGCGAAAGCGUGGGUAGCAAACAGGAUUAGAUACCCCAGUAGUC